rnacentral:lncRNA from 1 species
UUUUUUUUGUUUUUUUUUAAAGAAGAAAAUACAAGUGGUGCCUUGCAAUGACUAUUUAGUGCCUCUCUGAUUCCUUAAGAUGCCUUAAGCCAGGAUCAUAAUAUCUAGUCAAUAAGUUUCUUUAGGUUCACUGACUGCAGUGAUUCCUAUGAUUCCUAGGUCAGGCUGGUGCCCUGCACUUAAGAUAGACUUGAUGGUGACAGCAAACAGAAAACACCUCCUUGUGAUUCUCACUGAUAUCUGAGUGCUCAACACAAGGUAUUUCACCACAGCAAUGCCAAGGUCCUCUAGUGAUUAACGAAGACCUAGUGCAAAGCACUGCAAAAAGAAAAAAAAAAGUGAUUAUGUAUGUUGCAAAUUGUGCAACUGAAAGUAAACUCCCAUCAGGUAUUUUCUGUAUUGCAUAAUUGCUUGUACUGAUGACAAAAAUGACAACACUAUUACAAUCAAGGGCAGGAGGGGCAGGUAGUGUUGCUGAUCAAGGGUAAAUAUAAAUUGUUCUAAAGCUUUUAUCUGAAUUUCUACUUCCCAUAGUUUGAAAAGUGAGGUGUGAAGAUGAAAUGACUCAAAAUGCUUACAGAGAUGUAAUAGAAAAUAACCUGUCAGGAAACAAAGGAUGAGAAAAGUUAGGGCAGUUGCUACACACAAUAGCUUCUGCUAUACUGCUGAACCUGGUUUCACUUUCUUUAAUGUCUUCAAUUUUCAGAUUAUUUUCAUAGAAGGGUAGAAAAAGUUGUCAGUCUUACUCAGAGACUGAAUGCAGCCGAGGUUCACAGAGAUUAAACCUGAAAUUUGUGCUGGAUUAAAUCAUAGGAUAGAGAAACUUUUAGAGCUCUCAGAAAUAGAUAUCCAGAAUGUGGUGUGGGAAUCUCUGUGUACUACUGCUAUCCAGUGAGCAUUAUUUUGCCUUAUUGUAUAUCACCUCAGGCGCUUAAGUCUUGCUAUUCCCAUAGCAAGCAAAAAGGAUUCUCAAUCAUUUAAUGAAUGAAUUUAGCUGCUUUUAUGGAAAGCUUCACCUUUAGUUAAAUGGAGAAAAUAAAAGUGCAGAGGGAGUAUCAGCUUGCAAGAAUGGACUGAAAGACUUACUGGUACCCUUUUACUGCUUUGGCUUUUAUAUUUUGAGAUUAUGGGCAAGAUACACGUAAGACAGUUUUCAGCACUGUCUUACAAUUUAGAAUAUUUUAUUUGGAGAAGAUCUAUACUUUCCAAUAGAUGAAACAGUUUUAGAGAUGACUGAAUUGUACUUAAUAGACUUAAUGCAGUCAUGUAAGCACAAUGAUGAAGUUUUGUAUUUCAGACAGCAAAAUUAAUCAAGGGAAAGAAGAAAAAAAGAUUUCUGAAGUCUUAGCACUGAGAACUCAGCUUGAGUCACAGGAGAGCUCAGAUUUUGAGUGUUAGGUACAUUCCCGAUGAAGAAUCAGACUCUGUGAAGGUGUCUUAAGGAGUACUCAAAUGCUACUUUCCAAAAUAUUUGCCAGGUAUCCUGAUUCUGAAGUAACAAGGAAUGAAGGAUGAAUGUACUGGAGUUGGCCACCUGAAUUUCUGAGGGAUAUGGAAACUCCUAGUAGGCCAAAUGAAAUCCCUGUAGGAUUAGGAUCCAUAAUAAUUUUUAUAUUGUGGGAUAAUUAUAUGAAUUUAUUGUAACCUUGUAACUUGGGAUACAGUAAAAGUAUAUAUGUAAUUAGGUACCCAGGUGGAUUGGCUUAGUCCAUUUCAGAAACUCAAAUUGUUUGAUACUCAAAUCAUUUGAUACUAUUAAUAUAUCGCACUUCUAUUUUUGUUUAAAACAGAUUAAUGCAAACAACAAUUGCAGAAAAUUAAGAGAUGCUCCUUGAAUCUAAAGCCUUCCAAAUUAAGGAUUUACAUCAAUUCAUAUUAGACUUGCUUAGUCACAGUUUUGUUAAGACAGUGCAUUAGAAACUGAGCUGUGUUAGGGCUCCACAAAAUUGUAAGAAUAUGCAAUGGUUUUGAUCUGGAUUUUUUUUUUUUUUUAAUAUAGGGAAGGUUACAGUAUUCUAAGAGCUUUCUUAUUCUCAUUGAUGACAAAACUAAUUAAUUUUGAUUGAAGCAGGGACAGGCUGCAGAUUGCUGGAUUGAUCUUGCAUUUGUUCAAAUGUGUGUUUUAUUUAAGCUGUUGUGACAAUAAAUAUGUACAAGUACUUCCAAGAUUGGGUCCACUCAAACUGAAGUGCUCCUCCAUUCAGGGAAUAUUUUUAUGUGUUGCCAUUGAUAACCUGGAACCCAGAAAAUGUCCAAGCCAGUACACAGCAGAGUGCUUGGCUCUGACCGCUGUGCUUCACCAUCUUCCCUUUGGCUGGGUGAUCUUCAAGUAGGGGUUCAGCUUUUCAAAGCAAACACAGAUUGAAGAAUUAUUCCUUCUGACUUUUCAUCUUUGGAAGCUUCACUGAGUAAUUACCUCCUUCAAACACUAAAAUAUACUUCUGCUGUCAUUUUAAGAUAGCUUUUAAAAAUGAAGAUAGAUGAAGUGGACCUACCACCUGCACUAGGAAACACAGCCAUGAUAAUCCUUGUUCCCAUAGAUCCAUUACUGUUAAUUCCUAUUACAAUAUUGUCUGUUGAGAACUAAUAAAAUAAAUCUUCUUUUAAAUUAUUGUAAUAAUAAAAAUCUAUUUUUGUAAAGAUGUUUCUUCUUACUUUUUUAAACAUGAUGUUUUCCAGAAGCAAAGAGCUUUAUAUGCUAUCCAAGAUCUGCCUGCAAAGUUAGCAGAGGAAAGUUAGUUGCCUCAGAUAAAAUGCUGCAUUUCUAGGAUGCACCUACCUUAUUGAUCAAUAUGUUAGACUUUUCAAGCACUAUCAAAAAUACUAAGGAAGUUUAAAAAUACUCUUCAAGGAUCCAGAUGUCAGCAUAGCUCUGUUCUUUUCCCGCUGCUCCUGAGAUUGUGACCACUAUGAGCUGUAAGUAGAUAAAAGUUUGUAAAUCAUAGAGCCUUGUGUUAGACCUUUGUUUUAGAGACAGGUAUCACCAGCAUCCCCUAGUCCAGCCAGAAGCAGCACUCAUGGAACCAAAGUAACCUAUAAUUUCACAUUACUGAAGGUAUCAGAAAUUGGGCAUCUAUGAAAAAAACAUCCUAUUUAAGUGGAAGUAAAAUACUAAAUAUUCUAAAAUAUUUAAGAAAAGUCAGGUAGCUAUUUUUAUAAUAAGUCACAGAGCAAUUUGGUUUGGGGAUAGAAAAAUCAGGACUAUUUUCCAGUUAUUUUUGCUAAAUAGGAGGCACGCUUCUCAAAUUUCAGACGGGCACUCCUUCUUCCUGCUCUACACUAUACUCCUCAACCUGACACACGACUUCAGUCAAACAAGCCUGUAGAACAGACUCCUUUCCUGAAAAUACAGUUGUUAAUUCCAUCCUAACUAUAACAUCAAAGCAGAAAGCAACUGUUCCCUUCAAUCUUCUCUAUUUUUCAGCAGCGCCUAUCUAACAUAUUCAAGCUAAACACUUGAUUUAAAAGACCUGGUC